rnacentral:rRNA from 1 species
UACGUAGGCAGCAAGCGUUGUUCGGAUUUACUGGGCGUAAAGAGCGCGCAGGCGGUCGUUCAAGUCAGACGUGAAAUCCCCGGGCUUAACCUGGGAAUGGCGUUUGAAACUACGGAGCUGGAGUGUGGCAGAGGGAGGUAGAAUUCCACGUGUAGCGGUGAAAUGCGUAGAUAUGUGGAGGAAUACCGAUGGCGAAGGCAGCCUCCUGGGCCAACACUGACGCUCAUGCACGAAAGCGUGGGGAGCAAACAGG